UCUCAGUUCGGAUUGGAGUCUGCAACCCGACUCCAUGAAGCUGGAUUCGCUAGUAAUCGCGCAUCAGUCACGGCGCGGUGAAUACGUUCCCGGGCCUUGUACACACCGCCCGUCAAGCCAUGGAAGCCGGGAGUGCCUGAAGUGCGUGACCGCAAGGAGCGUCCUAAGGCAAUACCGGUGACUGGGGCUAAGUCGUAACAAGGUAAC
rnacentral:rRNA from 1 species